AAUAAAGAAGAAGAAAAAAU
rnacentral:sRNA from 1 species